GAUGAACGCUAGCGGCAGGCUUAACACAUGCAAGUCGAGGGGUAUAUGUCUUCGGAUAUAGAGACCGGCGCACGGGUGCGUAACGCGUAUGCAAUCUACCUUUUACAGGGGGAUAGCCCAGAGAAAUUUGGAUUAAUACCUCAUAGUAUAGCUCUACCGCAUGGUAGUACUAUUAAAGUCACAACGGUAAAAGAUGAGCAUGCGUCCCAUUAGCUAGUUGGUAAGGUAACGGCUUACCAAGGCAACGAUGGGUAGGGGUCCUGAGAGGGAGAUCCCCCACACUGGUACUGAGACACGGACCAGACUCCUACGGGAGGCAGCAGUGAGGAAUAUUGGACAAUGGGCGCAAGCCUGAUCCAGCCAUGCCGCGUGCAGGAUGACGGUCCUAUGGAUUGUAAACUGCUUUUGUACGAGAAGAAACACUGCUUCGUGAAGCAGCUUGACGGUAUCGUAAGAAUAAGGAUCGGCU
rnacentral:rRNA from 1 species